GAUGAACGCUGGCGAGAUGCCUUACACAUGCAAGUCAUACGGGGAUUUUUAAUUCAAGUGGCGGACGGGUGAGUAACACGUAAGAAUUUGCCUUUAGGAGGGGGACAACAACUGGAAACGGUUGCUAAUACCCCAUAUGCUUUCGAGUGAAACGGAAUUUUCCGCCUAGAGAGAAGCUUGCGGCUGAUUAGCUUGUUGGUGAGGUAAUGGCUCACCAAGGCGACGAUCAGUAUCUGGUUUGAGAGGAUGAUCAGACACACUGGAACUGAGACACGGUCCAGACUCCUACGGGAGGCAGCAGUGGGGAAUUUUCCGCAAUGGGCGAAAGCCUGACGGAGCAAUCUCGCGUGAGGGAUGACGGCCUAUGGGUUGUAAACCUCUUUUUUCAGGGAGGAAC
rnacentral:rRNA from 1 species